CGUGCGGGCCGCGCCGUGGCGGCACGAGUUGGGGGGGAAUGUCGAGGUUGGGCUGGGCCCGUGGCUGUGUGCUGUGUGCAACCCAUCCCCACCGUGCCCACUGACCGCCUCCCUCAGUGCCGCACCUCUACGUUUCUUGGGCACUGACUCUGCCAUCUCCCUGGGCAGCCUGUUGCAAGGCAUCACUGCUCUUUUUGAGAAGAAACUUUUCCUUACAUACAUUCUGAACCUCCUCUACAAAACCAGUUCCCUCAGCCGCUCCUCUCAAGACCUGUACUCCAGACCCUUUGCCAGCUCUGCUGCCCUUCUUUGGACAUGUUCUAGGACCUCUUUGAGUCAUGCAGCCCAUCUUCCACGCCCUCCACUGACCCAAGGAAAGCCCAGGCUAAGGCAGGCCUGAGGAUAGGCCUGCAUGUGGAUAGCCCUUGGUGGUAUUUCCUGGACAGGCAAUGCUAAACAUGGGUUUUUACCCUUUUUUAUGGUUCUGGAAGCAUGGCUUUUAGCAACAGUGUUGAACACAAGUAAGUAGUUCAGCAGCUAUAGGUGUAAUGCAGAUCUAGAUAUCCUUGAACAAAAUAAAGGACCUCUGCUUGUUGGCUGGAAAAGCUUUAACUCAGUGGUGACAGUGGUGCACAUCUGCAGAGUGAGUGAUAGCACACUUGAGAAGUGUCAGUGUAUGCCUGGCCUAUCCUACUUCUCCAUAGGCAUCCAUUAGUGGCCCCUGUCAGAAGCUGUGUGGCUACUUUCCAUUUGCCCAAUGGAUGUUUGGCCUGAACCAGUGCUUUAAUCAUUAAAUCUAUGUGUUUAUUAAAUGUGUAUAAACUGUAAGGGAAAAAUGUUUAGUUCCACGUGUCUACAGUCUUCUUUGGUGCGAUCGUGUUCCUGUAUAUAGGAGUGAGCCUGCAUGGGUGUGUAUAUUUAGAUAUUUAUGCCACUUUGCAGGCUUGCCAUGCAAAUACAUGUGCAGCGUAGAAGACUAAUUGCUACUUUUUUCUUAUAUUUCAGUUAAUAUUUCAGAAUUGUUCAUUAUAUUGGCAUCCAUUCUGUUUCAGGAGCUCUGCAGCCAUCUUACAAGUAGCAAAAAACAGGGUACAGAUCAAGGCCCUGUUGAUGAUUGCAUGCCGAGUGAAUGCUGCCAGCCGAGUGAUGGUUGCUCACUGAAUAGCGAGUUGCUUCAUGGCACAGUCCUCAUAAACAUGGCUUCAGAGAGCUGUAGAACUGGUAGGAUCCAGCUUCCCUUUGCCUUCGUGUCACAUGCCUGAUGUUUGGUUAUGUGCAAGCCUGAACAGAAGCUGUCCCGCACCUGGGGCAUUUGCUGGCAUCUAACAAUGGUGAAGUAGUGCUGCACUGUUCUCCCCGAUGGCCAGCUGCCUGUUGCUAGCAAGUAAGGCAGGAACUUCUUUGACUGUAGUGUUUGUCCCCUUGCUUGAGUCCCAAUUCUUGCUGUUGUGGAGUUCACAAGUUCUUUUAAAUCAGUUGGAAGACAAGAGCACUCACAUCCUCUGUGACAGCUUAUCUCUGCCAUGGUAGCUAUCUGCCCCAGUUAUACACACUUAUUAAAACAACUUUCAUAGAGGAAAUCUCUUCUAUUUUUAACUGUGUAUAAACUAAGCAUCCACUCUGAAUUAGUUGCCUAAUCUGCAAACAAGAGACAGGUGCUACCAAAGUGAUUCAUCUUUUCCUAAUACAGGUACAUUUAGAGAGAGAAACCUCAUCUCUCCUUGCUGAUUUUGAGGAAAGCUCAUGUCUGUAUCCUGUCCAGGAGCUCUUUGGUGCUCAUCGGUCUUGUGGUACAAAUAGGCUUCUUGACUCUGACACAAGCAAGAAUGGCCUAACUGAGUCAAACCACUCAUCCUUCCAGCUGUGCAUCUGGUUUCUCCUGCCUCUGAGAGCUAUGAGCUCUUAGCUCCUGUUUGCUGUGGCCAUAAAUUCUAGCUUCUUCAUCAAAUCAUUUCCUUUCAAGAAGUCAUGGGCCCAGUCCUUGGAGUUUUCUUUUUCCUCUCCACUUCUCAGUUUCUCCAUUUGGCCAUGUGGCCUUCACACUCCAGUGCAUUAUUUUUUAGUUCUUCCCUGUAACCCUGCUUUCCUUUUUCUUAGCUGCCCCUUUUUGGAGACCUUUUUUGGGCUGGGCAGUAGGAAAGACUGUCUGAAAACACAUGCCUAAAUGGAUGUGUAGGAAGCUUGACAUGCUUAGCCUCUUCUUUCAGCUACCUCAACUGUUUGCAGCUUGGAGGUCUGCUAGAUUUGCCUUUCCAGAACUUAGGUGAUAGUGGGAUGCUUGGGCUCUUCAUUCUGAUUUCAGAGCAGAACUCCUGUCCUGGAUGAGCUGAGGGAGCUAGAAGGAGUAAUGCAACUCCAGUAAGUGGCUGAGAGGAUACAGCAAACACCAGGAGGGGUGGGUAUCUGGCCAUGUGCAAUAUUACUGCAUGUAACACGUGCAUUGAACAAUGUGGCAAAACAAACUGUCGAACAGGUAAAACCAUAUAUACCUAAGUUAUGAUUCUGGCAGCCAUUAAUCAUCCUGCUUCUGUCUAUUCACUGUAACAAACAUGCCAGAUGUCCACUUCAUUUGGGAGGCCUGUGCGGAACUGAGGCUAACAGCUCUCCAGGGUUUGUCAGCGCAGUAAAGACAGUGGCCAUCUGAGUUCAUCUUGCUGUGUUCUGCAUCAUCCACUGUGCAUGAAAUUCUGCGUGCCAAGAUAAACAAGCAAUGCUAGAGAAGAGAAAGCAUAAAGACAAAUCACAAUGAGCUUUAUUAAGACAAAUCUGGUAAGCUGUAAGGAUUCCAAAGCACCUCUUCUGGCUGGAACUUAGGUGGCACGAAAGCACUCAUCUAGGCAGUACUUCUGAAUUGUACCCCUGAGUGGUUAUUGCCUCCUCUGGAAAUUGCUGUGCACAGCUUAAGUUCUUUCCUUUUCAUAAGACCAGGAGAAUAACACCUGCUAUUGGCCAGUGUUAGAGAGAUGGUACUAUUGUGUGAGACAGAAUUUUGGACCAUCAUUCUGUUUUUCUGCUUGAACAAAAAAAAACCUCUAAACUUUUAGUAGUUAUAAAAGCUGGAAGGGAUUGUGCUGAAAUGCUCUCUUCCUUGGAGUAGUCUGUGGGUUUAACUUCUUUAAAAAUGCAGGUUCUUGGUGUAGAAUCCGUACCUUUUUCUAAUCCGAUACCACGAAGGAUGUGUUAUAAUUGUGGGGAAUUUGUGAUCAGUCAUGAAAUGGAUAACAAUCAAACUAUGAUACGUAGACUUUUAUGUCUUUGCAGAGCUACUUCAGUGCUUCCUCAUUUUGUAAAUUACCACGAACACCAGAAUACUGGGAACCUAGCACAUAAAAAAGGAAAUAACUGUGCUUCCAGAAUCUGUUGUUCCCCUCCCAAUAGUUUUUUUGGAAGGUCCCAGUGGCUGUGAUUUUGAGUAUGGGCUGCAAAUAACAUGCUAAGCUAAAAAUUAUCUUUGCUUUCAUUCCAAUGCAAAAAGCUGCUUCUCUGGCUUCUUUUCUUUUCUUUUCUUUUCUUUUCUUUUCUUUUCUUUUCUUUUCUUUUCUUUUCUUUUCUUUUCUUUUCUUUUCUUUUCUUUUCUUUUCUUUUCUUUUCUUUUCUUUUCUUUUCUUUUCUUUUCUUUUCUUUUCUUUUCUUCUCUUCUCUUCUCUUCUCUUCUCUUCUCUUCUCUUCUCUUCUCUUCUCUUCUCUUCUCUUCUCUUCUCUUCUCUUUUCUUUUCUUUUUUUCCUUAUUGCAUGUUACAGUUAAAAGUAAGCAUAGCUACAGGUAGUUAGGACUAACUUCAAAAAGCCUUUUUGUUGUGGAGUGGCUCGGCACAGUGAGUAUCUGUGGCUGCUUGUAAUGCAACAAACUCUUCUUUCCAGAGCCCACAACAUUUAUAGGUCUUUCACCACUUACAGUGAUUUACUGCUCCAUUUGACCCAUCUUCCAAGGCUCUGCAGCUACAAGAAAACAUUUUUUUUCUCUUGGCAAUUUUACCUUCUCUCUUUUCCCAUCUUCUCUCUGGUUUGUUCCUGGGCACCUUUUACCAAGCUCUGUAUUUCGGUGGCUCUGCCUGUCCUGCCCUGUUCUCAGGGGCUCUGCUGGCAGGUCUGUCUCAAUGUCACCUGUAGUUGGGCUGUUGGGAGAAGCACUGUCUCCUGUCUGUGGUCUGUGGCAUGUGUCUGCUUCAUACAUCAGCCUAAGCUUUGAAAUGAGCCUGCAUAUGCAUUCCAGGAACAGCACAUUGUUCUAACUGGUAACAAAAAUACAUGACUAACGUGCUUCUGAUAGAGCCGCUUCCUCUUAACCUUAAAGUUGAUUUUUUGUUAAUGACUUCUUCCUCCCAUGGAAACGUGGAAAACAGUCUGGGACUGCAGGUUGUUAUUCAGUAAGAAAAACACAUGAUGAAGUUUGACAUUUCACAGGAAAAAGAUGUCUAAAGAUUUAUAUCAAUGGGUUUUAUUUACUGUUUUUCUGUUCUUGAUUUUUUUAAACCCCGAAAACAAAACUCAUGCAUUGCUAUAAAGGAGGUGGGCAAGUCUUUUUCAGCAGUGAGCAGUCUGUUGAGUCACAGUAACGUACGUUCUUUCCCCAUGCUUUUUUUCUUUAAAAGAAAGAAAUUGUUAAUCAUCUACAUGUAAAAAAUAUGGAAAAUAAACCAUUGUUUGAUCACCGUAUGUCAGAAUAAAAUUAAAAGCAGAGAGAAAACAUAACAUGAGGGCUUGACAUGGUUCGCUUUGUUCUGUUGUUCCCGUGCCCACGUGCCCAUGUUGUGUUCAUUUUUUAAAGCUAAAAAAUCAUAAAAUUCAUAGGAGAUGGGCAGCGUUUGUUCCUUAUUCAAAGUCCUUCUUCCACCACAAGGCCUCCACUGCCUGCUAAACUUGCAGGAUAUGGAUUCUGGUCACAGGAAUGCAAACCAGUGAUUUACUCUGCUUUUUCUUCUUUUUGCCUGGGGUUUAACCAGUACAUUAGACUAAUAUUUUCUUGCUUGCUAGUGGCAGUUUCUGUUUCUUUUUUUCUUUCUUUCUUUUUUUUUUUUUUUUUUGGUAGUGGAAGUCAUUAGAGUUUCUCCCAAGAGAAUCACUGCCAAAGUAAACAAACAUCUUCAUGAAAGGAAAAUAAUGUCUGAGGAGCAUUCAGAAUUCCAUGUUUUACAGAAGAGUAUUUAUGGCAACCAACUAGUGAAUUAAAGUGAAAGAAAUCCCAUUACUAGUUUGCUGCUUCUGCUGUGCUAAUCGAAAGUGGCAAUUUCUGCUCGCUUCUCUGCGCUACAGUGCAGGGUCUCAGUAUAAGCUGUAAUUUAAAAUGAAGGAAAUUAUGAGAUGAAACUCUUUUUAGAAGCAGUGUUAUGUUGGGUUUGCUUUUAUUUUUCUUAAUUGUUGGUAAUUGUAUAGAGCUUCUGCAUGUAAAACUCAGGGGAACUGCUAUUGUCUCCAAAAUGUUCUGCGUGUGGUUGGCAAGAACAACAAGCACAGAAGAAAGUUCAGCUAAAAAAUUCAUAAAAGCUGCCUGGUGGAAUGCAUUGCAAUCAGCUGUACACCUUGGUGCUCUUAUCCCUCUGAACUGAUCAUUUUUAGCUGAGAUGAAACAUUCUGAGGAGCAGGAGCCUGGCAGAUUUGCGGCGUAGAUUGUUUGAAGGUUUAAACACUGUGACUAUCUCAUCUUACUGCAAGUCUGUAGAUAGAACAUAAGCUCAAGUUGCUGAAAAGUGAUAGAAUGGCUCUGUGUGCACAGCCUACAAAACUGUGAAGGGCUUAUUUUCUGUGUGCUUUCUGCGUUCCCUCCAGGAGAGCAGUAAUUCCCCAGUGGAGCAAGCACACUUUGCAUUUGUUGAGGAUGAGACUGUCUCUAGUCCUUUGUUUGGGCAGCGGCUUUCACAAAGGGGACCAGUACUCACUGGGAACUUGCCAGCACCAUCAUAUGUUUCAUGACAAAUGCUAAGUGUUCAGAAAGUUGGCACUACAAAAUAGAGAUACUGUCAAUCUCUGUUUAAUUCUCAAAAUGGCUUGUAGGAUUUUAAAGCUUGUGUUGUUGCUGGUGCACUCACCCAUCAGAUAGCAUUUUUAACAGCCCUUCUAAUAUGGCCGGUUAAUUUGGUUAUAUUACUAGGAUGUAAAACAAAAUGAUUCCUAGGAUAGAGAUUGCUAGAUUGCUAAGAUUUUACUGCCGUUUUUUUCCUAUCUGCUGCGUGCUGAAGAACAGUGUGUCCAGCCACAUGUAUUGCUGUAGUCAGACCAUGGUAUUUUCUCAUCUUCUUUCCCAUGUACAGCUCAGACACAGCUGCCGCUAUUUACCAAACACAAAGGUGUUUUUCACAGCUCAGAGGGUAUGUUUGGGUUCUGCUGUAAGGAACGCGUGAUACAUCUCUAUUAAUUGCAUGAAUGUUCAGUGUAUGUUUAUGUACCUGGAUACUGUGGUGUUCUCUUUGGAAUUUUAGGGAGCGAGCUCAUAGAUCUUUGGAUACGUCUCCAGAGACAUGAUGAUUCCAGCGUCAGAAUAAUCUGCUCCAUAACGUGACCACAUUUAGGAGACCAGCUCCUGGGAGGAGACCCAAGGAGACAUCUUGAAAUUUCUGAGCAGAGAGGCUUUGGCACAGAGUUGGUGUACGCCGGAUGGCAUCCAGUUGGUAGCCUGCAUUGCUGGUGCAGCAGGAGGAAGCAAGCCUCUGACAAGAGCUAGAUAUGUCACCCUGCAGGACUGCACGGACAGCUUAAAUGGAGUGUAUGUUUGCACCUAAGCAGACUGUUAAGGCUAGAAUUGAAGAUGUACAGAUUGAAAUUAAGAAGAGUAUUAACUGUAUCAUUGAGACUAAUUAUGACUACAUAUUCAGUAACAGAAGUGAGGUCAACAGCUCCAAGAGUGACUAUCGCAAUAUCCAGCAGCCAUAGCACUGACAUUGAGACUGGCUGGGCCAUGAGGUCAUGCUUCUGGGAGGAUGAAGAGGAAGGCCUGGAUGCACUGAGGAAGAGAGUUGAACUCAACUUUGCUAUACAGCAGAUGAAUAUUCACCCUGGUGUAUAUAUAUAUAUAAAUCUAUUUAUUUAAAAGCAAAGCACUAGUCUGACAGUCUUGCUUGAAGACCAUUAUUUCAAGGCGUACUUCAUGAAAAAGAUAUCUGCUUCACAGUUAAAGAGUUAAGACAACAAAGAGUCCACCACACCUAUUCCAACGCUCACUGCUCAGAUGAAGUGCUUUAUUUGUGGUCUGAAUUUGGCUUUGACUUCCCUUGUUGAAUCUUUGCUGGAUUAAAAAAGCCUUUAGCACUGGCCAUCAUUCAAUGAAAAUACUUAAAUGCUGAGAUCAAGGCAUCUCAGCCCUCUUUUGUUAAGCAAAUCUCAUUGAGCUGCUUUCGUUUCUAACCAUAAGGCAGAACUUCUAUAUCAUCAGUUUUUCCUGUAGUUUCUUUCAAGUUGCAAGCUUACAAACAUAUUUUUUUCUUUUUUUCUUUUUAAGUAAGGACAUCAGGACUGUAUGUGGCUGCAGUGGUUACUACUAAUGAGAGAGUUACAGCAUGUGCUGAGCAAAAGUGUGCUCUUCCCUUUCCGUUUUUGAAGCAUGGAGGAUGAAAUGAGGGCAAAUACCAAAAUUUUCAUUUUUCAUAUGCUUUGUCAUAAACAUUCUAUAAUGCCACAAAAGGUCUUCCAAUGGAUAUUAUUCUUUUCCAAUACAAGCUUCUUAGGGGGACACACCAGCGUGGUAUCUUGCUGGGAUAACCACAAUGCUUGGUUUGCCCUGGCUGGCAUUACAUCUGACGGAGGACUUUUUUUUUCUUCUUCAUAUUUAGUUUAUCUGCUAAAACUUCUUUGAGGGUUGAAAAUACAGUCUCCAAUUUUAUAUAUUGUUUAUUUUUGUUCCAGCAUGUAUAACCAAUUUUUAUUAUUGAUAAAGUCUAUAUUUGUCACACAGGCAUGAAUUAAACUGAUAUUAGUUACAAGAGUAGCUUGGCUUUGCCACUUUCUGUUUUUUUCCUGCUUUGCCUACUCAAUUUUUGCUCUCAAAACAUCUCUGUAUUUUUUGCCCAAGACAGUGAAUGCUAGUAGUCCAAAAGGUAUUUCCAAUGAGCUCUGUCUUGAAGCAAUGCAAAUGGAAGAUGAGUCUGGUUUUUGCUACGUGUAGAACUCUACCAGUUAUCUAUUUUGUAAUUAGAGUACCUAGAUUUUUGCAUAGUGCUGACAUUGUAAUCACAGUCAUGCAAUGGUUAAGUAAGUGUUUUAAAAGCAUCUAAGUAUAUGCUUUUGCAUUUGUUCUCUUUUGCUCUGAAGCUGCUUCAGGCCUGCUGUACAAGCAAAAUGAAACAAAAUAUUUAAAUUUUCUUUUACCUAGUAAUAGUUUCCAGUCCUCAGCUGUUCUCUGGUGAGCAGACUGCAUGCUAGUAAUGCUUUAGCUAGAUGAUAUGAAGGAUUUUUUAUGUCCUGAAAACAAUGGGAUCAAGUUUACAAUGGUUGUGUGGGUCUGUGUGUGAGAAACAGCAGUGCUGCAAGCACACCCAGAAAAGGGAACAAGGAAGUCCAUCAGCCUGAGGAUCACUUGCAACGUAACCCUGAGAAAAAAUGAGAGGUGCUUGAAAUUGUGAGUAAAGAAACUGUUUCCUGCUGUUUGCUUCCUACUGCGUUCAGGGAAGCAGUACAUUGUGUACAGGCUUUGUAAAUAAAUGGGAUUGCAUUGGAUAAAUGCCUGACUCUGUCACCUAUUCGAGGCAUAGCAUACACAAUAUAAAAAAUCGACUAAUUAUGUCUAAUUGCAUUUAUCUACAACAUUUAUAACAGUGUCUUAGAAUGUACUUAGUGAAGGUGAAUUGACAGAUGGCACAUUGCCGAAACUGAACUAGAACUACAUGACAGGUCUGCUUUACUGUUUGGAGCAAAUUAUAUAUUUCUAUAUAUACUACAUAUAUACAAAUUAUAUAUUUCUAGUAGUAUCAAGUACUUUUGUUUGCUUUGUGUUCUCUAGUCAGGACAAAAACUUGAUAGUAAUGAGAUUGUAGAAAAGCCUAUGUUGGAAGAAUGCUCUGGAGGCCAUCUGUUCCCAGGACCUAGGUGGGCCCAGAUGCCCUGCUCAGGGGUCUGCCCAGCCCUUUGAUUUCAGGGAGGGAGGUUCCCCCAGUGCUCUGGGUGGCCUGUUCCAAAGUUCUGUUGCUCUCACGGUGAAGGGUUUUGUCUUCUACCUGGAUGGGUUUUCUCCUGAAGCACCUUGUGCCUAUUGCUUCUUGUUCUGCCAACUGUCCUUCCUUCUGAAGAGAACAUCCAUUUUCUCUGUUACAGCCUUUUAGGUGGUGGAAGACUGUCUUCCCCCUUCGGCUGUCUCUUUUCUACACUGAACAAACACAAUUCUUUCACUCUUUCUUCAUCUGUCAAGUCCUGCAGUUCUCUAAUCAUGCUAGUGGCCCACUACUAGACCCUCUCAUUUUUUUUUAAUGUCUUGUUUGAUCCGGAUGGAUCAAGACUGGACAGAGUACUCCUUCUGUGCCCUAAUAACCCCAAAAACACAAUUUCAUUUUUGACUAUUUAUAAUGAAACCAAAGCACAGAAGUUCACAAACUUCAGGAAGCAAAGGGAGGUGCUCUCCUUAUUUUACCCUAAAGCCCAAUGACUUCAGCAUUCACCCGCAGUAUGGGAGAGCUGGGUUCAGUUCUUGCCUUCUUUUGAAGAAUUGGACCCAUGUUGCUUGCAACCCUGAGCGGUGCCCUCGGGUGGAGGCUGUAACAAGCCAUGACAUAUUCCAGGGUUCCUUCAAACUGUCUUGAUGCCACGGUCUGAUGAAAGGAUGCGUUUUUCAUUGCUAUUUGUUGUAUGUAAGAGAAAUUGGCAUCUGCACAUGUGUCUAACAACUCAGAAGUGUGGUCUAUAUGCAAGCAUAAGUGAAGUGCAAUAUAACAAAUGUAAUGAAAAGCAAGAUGAGAGAUCAGUUGGGUGCACGGCUGGAUGAAGAGUGAAGAACACCGGACAGAUGUUUGCAAAGAGGUCUCAACAAGGAGUCCAAGAUCCUUCCUGGAGUGAUUAUUUAUAAUUUAUCACAGUGUUUGUGCAAUUAGGGUGUUUUUCCCCCCACGUGUAUUCCUGUGUGUCUAUCGAUAAUAAAUGAUGCGUGGUUUUAUGUUGCUGAAUCACUCAGCAUUCAGUAUGACGAUGCCUUUUGAAGUAUUGACUGUUCUAAGCGAUUUCCAUCAUCAGCAAACUUAGCUGCCUCGUUAUUAAUCCCCUCUUCCAGAUCGUUUGUGAAUGUAGUGAAGAGAACAAGUUCAAGUGCAGAUCCCUGAUCUCUUCUCUCCCAUGGUGAAAACAAUUUAUUACUACGCUUCAACAAAUCAUUAAUCUACUAAAGAAUUUCCAUCCUUAUGAUAACUCAGUUUCUUUAAGAGCUUUUAGAGAGAGAGAUGUUGUCAAAACACUUUGACUUCUGGAAAUCCAAGAGCAUUACAGCAAUCCGCAUUCACCACCAUGCUGACUGCUUUCAGGAACUGUACCAUCGUCCAUUUCAUCAGCCCACAGCAGGCUGUAAACCCUACAUUUGGUCAGGUUUCUUCUUCCGCAGAUGUGACGUUAUUUGUGUACUAAAAAUAGUGGCGAGCGCUUUCAUUACUUGUACAAAGGCUUCUAGCAGUUAGUGACAGUUUCUAAGUGAACUUAUUGCUAUGCUGCCAGAAACUCCAGAGCGAGGUACAGAUUUCCAUUGACCCCGAAUGCAGCAUGGUUUCUUUGUGAUAGAAGUCUUCUAUUUAUUUUCCAUAAAUGACAUAUCCCUGAAGCAACGGUGAGGGAAUGAAAGUUGCAUUUUAUCACUGUAACAUUUGCAGAAAAGUGAACUGCUAAACUCCCUAUUCAUAAUGAAACUUCGACUGGCCGCGAGUUCUUAAAAAGCUUACCUGCAGGUGCACAGCUUUUUUUUUUUCCCCCUUAAAAAUUUAUAUCUGAGCCUUAUGAACUUCUGAUUAAACUUUUAAAAUAAAUUAAGGGUGAGAGGAUUAGACAGGGAAUUGGAAAUGAACUGUGGUAUCUUUUGCCUCUAGCUCAGCAUUUUGAAGGCAGCCCAAAUGAGAUGUGACAAAGUGCAGUGCUCUCGUUUCUUUCUGCUGACCUACGUGCAAGUGGAGUUUGGUCUCUGCCAAGUUCUUUGUGUGAACAGCCACGUCACCGUCACUGCUAGUCUAAUUAGCAGUAAUUAGACCUUUGUUGGAAUUUAAAAUAAAUAGGCCAUGAUUUGGAUAUCACAGUGACUAAAUUAUCCACUUAGAUGAUCCCCUCUGUGGGUGAACAGCCUGCUGCUCCCAGCCCUCCCUUUUCCACAGAGUGACAGCAGUUACAAAGAUCUGAUUUAAAUGACGAAUACGCCCAGCUUGUGUUUUGCAGAAUGCCGUGUCCUGUUUGAAAUAGAAACUGUAAAAUCCUGCAGGACAGUCCCUGAGUGAGACUAAUAAAGCCACGUUUUAAUCCGUUAA